rnacentral:rRNA from 1 species
GAUGAACGCUGGCGGCGUGCCUAAUACAUGCAAGUCGAGCGAACAGACGAGGAGCUUGCUCCUCUGACGUUAGCGGCGGACGGGUGAGUAACACGUGGAUAACCUACCUAUAAGACUGGGAUAACUUCGGGAAACCGGAGCUAAUACCGGAUAAUAUAUUGAACCGCAUGGUUCAAUAGUGAAAGACGGUUUUGCUGUCACUUAUAGAUGGAUCCGCGCCGCAUUAGCUAGUUGGUAAGGUAACGGCUUACCAAGGCGACGAUGCGUAGCCGACCUGAGAGGAUGAUCAGCCACACUGGAACUGAGACACGGUCCAGACUCCUACGGGAGGCAGCAGUAGGGAAUCUUCCGCAAUGGGCGAAAGCCUGACGGAGCCACGCCGCGUGAGUGAUGAAGGUCUUCGGAUCGUAAAGCUCUGUUAUUAGGGAAGAACAAAUGUGUAAGUAACUAUGCACGUCUUGACGGUACCUAAUCAGAAAGCCACGGCUAACUACGUG